rnacentral:rRNA from 1 species
AUACGUAGGGGGCGAGCGUUGUCCGGAAUGACUGGGCGUAAAGGGCGUGUAGGCGGCGCCGUAAGUCUGGAGUGAAAGUCCUGUUUUCAAGGGGGGAAUUGCUUUGGAUACUGCGGAGCUUGAGUGCGGAAGAGGUAAGUGGAAUUCCCAGUGUAGCGGUGAAAUGCGUAGGGAUUGGGAGGAACACCAGUGGCGAAGGCGACUGACUGGUCCGUUGCGGACCCUCAGACGCGCAAGCGUGGGUAGUAAACGGGAUUAGAGACCCGGGUACUCCUCGCCGUAAACGAUGUGAACUUGGCGUUGGUGGGAUAAACUCCAGCAGUGCCGGAGCAAACGCGAUAAGUUCACCGCCUGGGGACUACGGCCGCAAGGUUGAAACUCAAAGGAAUUGACGG